rnacentral:rRNA from 1 species
GACGAACGCUGGCGGCGUGCUUAACACAUGCAAGUCGAACGGAAAGGCCUGCUUUCCCUUGUGGAUUGCGGGUACUCGAGUGGCGAACGGGUGAGUAACACGUGAGUGAUCUGCCCCCAACUUGGGUAUAAGCCUGGGAAACUGGGUCUAAUUCCCGGUAGGACUGCAGGGUGGUGCCUGUGGUGGAAAACGAUUUUCUAGUGGUUGGGGAUGAGCUCGCGGCCUAUCAGCUUGUUGGUGGGGUAAUGGCCUACCAAGGCGGCGACGGGUAGCCGGCCUGAGAGGGUAGACGUCCACAUUGGGACUGAGGUACGGCCCAGACUCCUACGGGAGGCAGCAGUGGGGAAUAUUGCACAAUGGGCGGAAGCCUGAAGCAGCGACGCCGCGUGGGGGAUGACGGCCUUCGGGUUGUAAACUCCUUUCGACCGCGAGGAAGCCACCUGGUUGGAAGGGUGGUGACGGUAGUGGUAGAAGAAGCACCGGCUAACUACGUG